UAUAGGGCACACUCAAACAAAGUUAACGCCUUGGCCAUUUUCCUAUCUGAGAGAGAAACCUCGAGCUUUUCUUCAUUUCGAGCAAAAUCUGGAGCUUUUCUUCACCAUCUUCUCAAAACACUUAGCCAUCACAAAUCACCAUCUUUCAAAGUCUGGAUUUAGGUUCUAUUCGAUUAGGGUUCGAUUUGGGUUCUACUCGAUUAGGGUUCGAGUUGGGGGUUUUUCAUUCUGCUGAAAUGGGGGAUUUGGGUUCUGACCAAUCGAGUUGGGUUCUACUUGAUUAGGCUAUUUCUUCAGCCCCAGAGAGAAGAUAAAUCUCAUUCUUUGCAAGAUCCGCACUGGGUAUUUCUUCUCUUCUUCUCUUCAUUCACACCUGUUCUCUCAUCUCUCUUCUCAAAUUCACCAGAUCCGCCAAAGACGCAGUCCACACCGGAGCUCCGCCUUGCCCUUCCUCCUUCUCUUUUCUCCUCCCACCCCGAUGAGAACUAGAAAGAGAACGGGAAGCUCUCAAGGCCUCAAUCAUCUUCUCCAGCCCUACAUUUUUGGAGGAUAAAUCACUAAUUCCUGUCAACCUCUGGAUGAACAAUGCUCAAGCUAGAUCAAGCACUCACUAUGAUCCACACCAUAGCCUUCUCUGCUUAGUUUCUUGCUGUAAACAAGUGGUUUUAUGGCCUCCUUCAGCAGCUCUGGUGUUAUACCCUAUGCCAAUAUAUGGGGAUGCAUCAAAUCAUAGUCUUCCAAUAGUUGAAUUGUACCCCCUCUUGGCAGUUCUGUUCCUUUAGACAACAUUGACUUUUCUAAUUAUCCAAGAGCAGAAUCUUCAAUGGAGUACUCGCAUUCUUCAUGCAGGGGAUGCACUAUUUAUUCCUGAAGGCUGGUUCCACCAGGUGGAUAGUGAUGAUCUGACAAUCGCUGUCAACUUUUGGUGGCAAUCAAACAUAAUGUCAUGCAUGUCAGAACACAUGGAUGCAUAUUAUUUGCGCAUCAUCAUCAUCAUCUUGAGAGAUAAAUUAUGAUAAGCAACAGAGCUCUGGGAACCGUAAUCCCCCAUUUUCCAACAGAACCCAACAAAGCUGCUCCGAAAUAAAGACAUCAUGCUCUGAACUCUGGACAAUAAACAGGGCACCUAUGCAACAAGUAAGGGUUAGCAAUGACUAGGUUAGCUCAACAAUGUUCAAGUUAUGAUACAGAUUUUUAUGAUGUUCACUUUAAAAAUUUUGAAUUAUUUCAUUUUGUCAAGUAAUAAAUUUCUAUAGUUUAACUAUUACUCAAGGAAAUUGAUAGAACUAUAUUUCUUUUUAAAAUUGAUAUGUAUUGGUCAUUGAUUGACUACCACAAUCAGUGAUUGUGAUCUCUUUAGAAUGGUAGAUCUAUGCUUGUGGAUCAUUGAUCAAUACACUUCAUGCUGUCAAUUGUUGUGAAUCUCCGAGUUACAUUAUCUUAGUUGUAA